CAACCAUCAAGCUCUGCUUGCGUUGGGGAUCCGCGGCUGUCCGCGGUCCCUCAAAAUCAGUGGCGGGCUCGCUAGUCACACCGAGCGUAGUAACUCUACAUCGCUAUGGUCGUGCGGCGGGUUCUUGCCGUAAAACCCCCCAUUUCUAA
rnacentral:misc_RNA from 3 species